UUAAAUUAACCAUAUAAAAUAUGACAUCUCUUUUAAUUAUACGCAUCAACCUCAAAUAGAAAACGUCUAGAGUUUUACGACUUAUUUGAGGCGGAUGCGUAUAGUUAAAGGAGAUGACAUAUUUUAUGUGGUUAACUUAAUU
rfam:Solanum tuberosum cultivar DM 1-3 516 R44 scf00189_5, whole genome shotgun sequence.